AGUGAACGCUGGCGGUAGGCCUAACACAUGCAAGUCGAACGGCAGCACAGUAAGAGCUUGCUCUUACGGGUGGCGAGUGGCGGACGGGUGAGGAAUACAUCGGAAUCUACUUUUUCGUGGGGGAUAACGUAGGGAAACUUACGCUAAUACCGCAUACGACCUACGGGUGAAAGCAGGGGAUCUUCGGACCUUGCGCGAUUGAAUGAGCCGAUGUCGGAUUAGCUAGUUGGCGGGGUAAAGGCCCGCCAAGGCGACGAUCCGUAGCUGGUCUGAGAGGAUGGUCAGCCACACUGGAACUGAGACACGGUCCAGACUCCUACGGGAGGCAGCAGUGGGGAAUAUUGGACAAUGGGCGGAAGCCUGAUCCAGCCAUACCGCGUGGGUGAAGAAGGCCUUCGGGUUGUAAAGCCCUUUUGUUGGGAAAGAAAAGCAGCAGGUUAAUACCCCGCUGUUCUGACGGUACCCAAAGAAUAAGCACCGGCUAACUUCGUG
rnacentral:rRNA from 1 species